rnacentral:rRNA from 1 species
GACGAACGCUGGCGGCGUGCUUAACACAUGCAAGUCGAACGGAAAGGCCUCUUUCGGGGGGUACUCGAGUGGCGAACGGGUGAGUAACACGUGAGUAACCUGCCCUUGACUUUGGGAUAACUUCAGGAAACUGGGGCUAAUACCGGAUAGGAGCUCCUGCUGCAUGGUGGGGGUUGGAAAGUUUCGGCGGUUGGGGCUGGACUCGCGGCUUAUCAGCUUGUUGGUGGGGUAGUGGCUUACCAAGGCUUUGACGGGUAGCCGGCCUGAGAGGGUGACCGGCCACAUUGGGACUGAGAUACGGCCCAGACUCCUACGGGAGGCAGCAGUGGGGAAUAUUGCACAAUGGGUGGAAGCCUGAUGCAGCAACGCCGUGUGCGGGAUGACGGCCUUCGGGUUGUAAACCGCUUUCGCUCAUGACGAAGCUUUGUGUGACGGUAGUGGGUAAAGAAGCACCGGCUAACUACGU